rfam:Oryza glaberrima chromosome 7 Oglab07_0043_19, whole genome shotgun sequence.
AAUAAGUGCAGUUCUGCACUAUUCACGUUCAACGUUCGACCGCUUGUCUUAUUUGAUAUUUUUUAUGAUCAGUAUUUUUAUUGUUAUUAGAUGAUAAAAUAUGAAUAGUACUUUACGUGUGACUAAAUAUUUUUAAAUUUUUCACAAAUUUUUUAAAUAAAACGAACAAUCAAACGUUAGGUACGAAUAUUUACGGCUGUAUUUAUU